UGAGGGCUGUGUUUCCAGACCCCGAGGGUUAGGGCCUGCUAGCUCUGGUUGGUUGCUGUGUGCCCUGUCACAGUGCUUGGUGCAGAGGGGGAAACCCUUGCAGUUUAGAAGUUAUCCUGCUAAAGAAGGGUUUCCCCCUGUUUCUGCACCCAAGCUGAAGCCUCUUUCAUGUGGGGAAUGUUUUUCUUCUUUGAAGACUUGGCAAAUAUUUGCCCAGCGUAGAUGUGAAGGAGGCACACGUGUGAAAGCAUUCACCAGAAACCAGUGAUGGGAACAAUGAAAGUCCAGGCAAGGAGCCAGCGUGCAACUGAUUUUUACAGUGUGUGGAUCAAUUGCUGAAAACCUCAUCUCUAUGAAAAAGGCUUCAGAUCAGACACCAAGAAGGUGGCUGUGGAAGAAAUGAAUAUUUUGUCUUCACGGAGAAGAUUCUUAAAGCUGUUUCACUGGAAAACACUGGAACAUUUAUUCUGUAGAGUACAUGGAUCAAUGCCUUGCUGUCACAGAAAUGGCUUUUUGCUGUCCUACUGUUAACUCAAAUUUGGCCAAGCUUUAAUCCUCUGAAAAUUUUCAGCUUUUGAAUACUCAGUCUUGCCUUGCUAAAAUUCCUAGCUUGAAUAUGCUAACAUUUCCAUCCGCACAAAGCAUUAUUUAGUCCAUGAGAACUCGUACAUGCUGCCUGGCUGCACGUGCACCAUCCCCAAGUGACUGAGCAUACAUCAGCCUAAAGCUCCAGAUCUGAACGGCCCAUGGUCCCCAACUGACUUUGCUCAGGUCCCGUGUAGACUGGGGACGAGAACUGAAAGCAGAAAGAGAGAAGGAGAGGGAGAAGGACUCUCUUGUGAGACUCGCACAUAUAGCUAGCAUUAAACAGGUACACAAAGGCUUUGCAGAGUAAGGAUGCAUUGCAUGGUUUUAACAAAACCAUUUUCCUGAAUCUCCCAAAUCGCAUACCUUGCAAAAUUAGUCAAUCCUCUUCUAUUUCCAUCCAUCCUAUCCACCUUACAUACCCAGAACAUCUUCAUCUGGAGUUAUAAAUCCAGAAUAUAGCUUUUGGUUGACCUGAGUGAGCGGUCAAUAUUGGAAUACUGUCAGUUGUUUUCAGUUAGAAGAACCUGAGACUGGAGUAGGGUAUUACUUUGAUAUAGCCCUUUUGAUUUACAAAGAAUAUACAAAGGUCCCUUUCCUUGGACAUGGUAGAAAUUAAGCAAAGACAGUUGCUUUACACAUACAUCCGGUUUCUUUCAGUUAGCCCUUGGCCAGACAAGGUUGUUCUGGUCAUGAUCCCAAAGCUGGUCCUGAUUGCCUCGUUAGCUUUCUUUGGGUUGUCUGUCAAAUCCUCUGGUGUUCUUGCUGUCCUGGACAGGCACGCACAGCGCUAUCAGACAGUGUCAGCCUGCCUACUGCUGCACGUGCAUGCAGCUGUCAGUGAAAUCCCCUCACCCACGCAGCCUGGAUUGCUGAGCACUGUUGUCUGCAGACUGUAUUUUAGGUGGUGGCUCUUUCACCAUUAUGUUCCAUAAAGAAAUGAAAAGUCUUUUCCAUUUUCCACAGUCUAUCCCUUAAAGAAAUAUAUGUUUCCUACAUUUAUUCUGCAUAAACGUCAACUGUUUAUAACCAUGGAUUCCAGAGAGCAGCCCUCGCUAACCAGGAAUAAUUUUUAAGCAAAAGAAAAAAUACCAACAGAAAAAUCCCUGCAUGUACACCAAAGUUAAACGAUUACCUUGUGCAAAAAUGAAUGCACCGUUAACAAGAAUUGCUAGCAUCAGAUGUGUUUAAAAUAUACAUAAAACAUGGGAAUAGCAGUCAAGUAUUCACAUUUUCUUUUUCCCUUCCAAAUUCUAGAAAAAAAAAAUCCUAAUACUUGCAGACAUACUCUUGCAGUAAGGCAAACAUUUUUUGGUGAUUUCUGUAAAAGUACUGUUAUAUAGUUUUCUGUAGGUUGGAGCAUGGGCAAGGCUAGCUCACAUCUGCCUGCAAAAGACUGCAUAGACUCCAGCAAUUAACUUCUUGCUGCUCAAUGCUUGUUUGCUGUGAAUAGUAUAUAGAAGCUUAAAAUUUGCCUCCAUUUAGUGGAAAAGAAAUGUAACCAGUAGAGUAAGGAUUUCACCUAGUGGGUUUAUAUUUAUCUGUGUAAUAACAGAGUAGAGUUGAGCUGAUUUGUGAUGCCUUGAUAUUUAAACACAUAUCAAAUUCUGUUUUAAUUUCAUGCUAGUCUUUAAUACUGUAAUUCCUAGCUUUCAGAUUUUUGUUUUGAAUUAAUAUCAAGAUUUUAUCAUGUUUUCUGUUGCACGCUUUCAGUUCCUAUUGCAAUGGAAAUAGUGUUUAGUCUGGUUAUUUAAUUACAUAUAUUAAUUUUAUCAGAUUGUGCUUUGGAAUUAAGAGCCAAGUUGAAUGCCUGUAAAAAAGCAAACAUGUAAAACAUGGAGAGGGGAGAGCUGAGGCAUAGCAUACUUUCCUUAUGCUAGCUAUGCAUAAAGUAGGCAUGCACCAAGUGGAAAUACUUCUGAUGCUCAUAAAACAGAAUCAAAAGCAAUGGUUCUGCUGGAUAAUGCAUCUUUCAUUUGUGAGUUUGAGUUAAAGCUCUGCUACAGCUGGUGUCCACAUGGAUUAUUUUUUUCAGAGGCUUUUGUGUACCUGAUUAAAGUACCUAUGAUGGGCUUUGUCAUUAUGGAAACGGAUGUGUUCUAUACAUAAACCUCAAGUAAUUAAAAUCCCAUAAAAAGGGAAGAAAAACAGUGCUAUUGAGAAAGGGAGAGAAUCAGAAAAAAUGUCAUUCUGAGAUAUUUUUAUGUUCUUUAUGCAUCAGCAGGGUUCUAGCAAAUGCCCUUAGAAAAUCAGAACAUGUUUACACAUUUAUUCAUCCACAUACCACCUAUUCAGUUGUGUUUGGUACCCUAAGUAUUUGAUCAAAAAAUACACUUUUGAAGACUUUUAAUAAUGGAGAGAGUUCUAAGGCCUUCAGAUGGCAUUUUGAUCUCAUGGAACAACAAAGUUAAAAAAAAAUAAGGAGGAGGAGCAUGAGAAGAGCUUCUGAAUGGUGAUGAAAGGAGUAGGAAUGGAAGAAGCCAAAAAUAAGAAAUGCUCACAAAUAAUUUUAUACUAUUUAUCAGUCUUACUGAGGGCAAUCAAAACUACUUUUCAGUCAUUAAAUCUACUUUUCAGUCAAUAUUUUUU